CCCUUAGAGUUUGAUCCUGGCUCAGGACUAACGCUGGCGGAAUGCUUCAUACAUGCAAGUCGAACGAUGAGGCCCUUCGGGGUACAUCAGUGGCGGACGGGUGAGUAACGCGUAGAUAACGUGCCUUGUACUGGGGGAUAACGUCUGGAAACGGACGCUAAUACCGCAUACGAUAACAGGUGAAACUCCUGUUAUUAAAAACUCCGGUGGUACAAGAUCGGUCUGCGUCGGAUUAGCUAGUUGGUAGGGUAAUGGCCUACCAAGGCGACGAUCCGUAGCUGGUCUGAGAGGAUGAUCAGCCACAGUGGGACUGAGACACGGCCCACACUCCUACGGGAGGCAGCAGUAGGGAAUAUUGCGCAAUGGGCUAACGCCUGACGCAGCAAUUCCGCGUGGAGGACGAAGUCUCUUGGGACGUAAACUCCUUUCGGCAGUGACGAUAAUGACGGUAACUGCAGAAGAAGCACCGGCUAACUACGUGCCAGCAGCCGCGGUAAGACGUAGGGUGCAAGCAUUGUCCGGAAUCAUUGGGCGUAAAGAGUUCGUAGGCGGUUUGUCAAGUCUGGUGUUAAAUCUCGGGGCUCAACCCCGACAUGGCAUCGGAAACUGACAGGCUAGAGUGCAUAAGAGGCAAGGGGAAUUCCCGGUGUAGCGGUGAAAUGCGUAGAUAUCGGGAGGAACACCAGUGGCGAAAGCGCCUUGCUGGUAUGCUACUGACGCUGAGGAACGAAAGCCAGGGGAGCAAAAGGGAUUAGAUACCCCUGUAGUCCUGGCCGUAAACGAUGGAUACUAGGUGUUGGAGGAUUCGACCCUUUCAGUGCCGUAGCUAACGCGAUAAGUAUCCCGCCUGGGGAGUACGACCGCAAGGUUGAAACUCAAAGGAAUUGACGGGGGCCCGCACAAGCGGUGGAACAUGUGGUUUAAUUCGAUGCAACGCGCAGAACCUUACCUAGGUUUGACAUCCUUGGAACCCUGCAGAAAUGCGGGGGUGCCUUCGGGAACCAAGUGACAGGUGGUGCACGGCUGUCGUCAGCUCGUGUCGUGAGAUGUUGGGUUAAGUCCCGCAACGAGCGCAACCCUCGUUGUCUGUUGCUACAGGUAGAAAUAUGCUGAGCACUCAGGCGAGACUGCCGGUGAUAAACCGGAGGAAGGUGGGGAUGACGUCAAGUCAGCAUGCCCCUUAUAUCUAGGGCUACACACGUGUUACAAUGGGAUAGGACAACGGGCAGCCAGCCAGCGAUGGUGAGCUAAUCCCUUAAACCUACCCUCAGUUCGGAUUGGAGUCUGCAACUCGACUCCAUGAAGUCGGAAUCGCUAGUAACCGCGGAUCAG
rnacentral:rRNA from 1 species